rnacentral:misc_RNA from 1 species
CAGAGUUGCAAAACUCCCACAAACCAUCGCGAAUCUUACCCGUACGGUUGCCUCGGCGCUGGCGGUCCGGAAGGCCCUCGGGCCCCGGACCCUCGGGUCUCCCGCUCGCGGGAGGCUGCCCGCCGGAGUGCCGAAACCAAACUCUUGAUUAUUUUAUGUCUCUCUGAAGUUAAACUUUUAAAUAAGUCA